UACGGGGGGGGCAAGCGUUGUUCGGAAUUACUGGGCGUAAAGGGCGCGUAGGCGGUGCUCUAAGUCGGAUGUGAAAACUCUGGGCUCAACCCAGAGCCUGCAUCCGAAACUGGAGGGCUAGAGUUCUGGAGGGGGUAGCGGAAUUCCUGGUGUAGCGGUGAAAUGCGUAGAUAUCGGGAGGAACACCGGUGGCGAAGGCGGCGACCUGGGUCGAUACUGACGCUGAGGUGCGAAAGCGUGGGGAGCAAACAGG
rnacentral:rRNA from 1 species